UGAUUGGACUUUUUAAAGUCCACACAGUGUCUAAAAAAAAAAAAA
rfam:Alligator sinensis unplaced genomic scaffold scaffold569_1, whole genome shotgun sequence